AGAAGUGGCAUUAGGAAACACGCAUCUGGAAGCAGAAGACCUCGUUACGUCCUGAUACAGCUGCGCUCACGCUUCCUGCUCGAACCAACCCAAGGAGAGCAGAAAUCUUCCACACAGCAAUCAUUGCCACUAAAUACACACCCUUGUGAAAACUGGCUUGUGAGACCAGAGCAGAGCUAGGCCAGAAUAUCCCCUAAUGAAAUGUGUGCAGUGUGAACGUCAUGUGCUCAAGAACAGCUGUCUGUCUACCAUGACCAUCCCUAUGGAUGAUGUAGAAAUGAAACAUUUCUUCUUGUUCUUCCGCAACCUUUCAGAGAGGAGUCUGGAGUGCAUUCAAGGAAAGGGGACUGAAUGUGGUCU
rnacentral:lncRNA from 1 species